rnacentral:rRNA from 1 species
CCACGCCGUAAACGUUGGGAACUAGGUGUUGGCGACAUUCCACGUCGUCGGUGCCGCAGCUAACGCAUUAAGUUCCCCGCCUGGGGAGUACGGCCGCAAGGCUAAAACUCAAAGGAAUUGACGGGGGCCCGCACAAGCAGCGGAGCAUGUGGCUUAAUUCGACGCAACGCGAAGAACCUUACCAAGGCUUGACAUACACCGGAAAGCAUCAGAGAUGGUGCCCCCCUUGUGGUCGGUGUACAGGUGGUGCAUGGCUGU